GCGGACGCUCUAGCAGGGUUGCACCGUAAAGCAGCCCCGCCCCACUACCCC
rnacentral:ncRNA from 1 species